rnacentral:pre_miRNA from 1 species
UCUUAUGGAUACGCAAAGAAAGUGGUUUCUUGAGGUAGAAUCUACUCCUAGUGAAGAUGUUGUGAA